CGGAGACGAGAUCUACCACAAACUCAAUCUCCCUAUCAGGUGGCAUUCCUGGAAGCUCCGCUAGAAACACAUCUCCAAGCUCCCGCACUAUGGGAAUAUCCUUAAUCCUAGGAGUGUCGACGUCACCUCUCAACACCACAGUAGCCAAAUAGGCUACGCAGCCUUUGCUAAUCAUCUGUCUAGCUCGAGAGGAGCUAAUCGUCAUAGCAAAGAGCGAACUCUGGCAUCCACGGUACACAACCUCCACCUGCCCCGGUUCUCUAAAAGUCAUCGUUCGAUUUUUGCAAUCGAUAGUGGCGAAGUACUUAGUCAACCAAUCCAUGCCCAAAACUACAUUAAACUCUCCGAGUUUAUGCAAAACUAGUAAAUUCACAGGCAUGAUCCAAUCUCCUACCAGAACAGGGCAACUGGGGCAAAACUCCCGAAUAUCCAAAAAAUGGUUGGGGACAACAACACGUCCCGGAUGUAACAAAGAAACAAAGGGGAUGCCAUGCAACUCGGCAAACAGCCGAUCUAUGAAUGAAUGCGAUGCACCGGUAUCAAAUAAUGCACGAACUCGAAUGCUAUUUAAUAAAAUGAUACCUGCAACCACAUUCUCGGCCGCUGCCGUCUCCUCGGUCUGGGCCGCGUACAUGUGCCCGCUCGGGGCCUGUCGUGACCCCUCCGUCUGCCUCUGGACUGGUGGCCGCCUAGCCUGGUAGUGAGCGGAAGGCGUCCCCUGGCUGGGACACGGUGAAGCUGGUGCUGAUGCCGAUGAUGGCGCUGGCGCUGGGCCCCUCGGGCAAUCCGACUGGAAGUGGCCCUCCUGGCCACACAGGUAGCACCUGCCCCGACUGCGUGAACACUGCCGUGGGAAAUGAGGACCACCGCAGAUCACGCAGCGUGGAGCCUGGUGACGAUCAGAUCCUCCUUGCUGAGUAGACGAGCCACGCCCUCUCGACUGGCUUCGGCUCCUGGGGUGCCUUGGCGGCCUCGAUGAGUGCGUCUGACUCGCACCCUCCGCCGUGGGCCUUUUGCCCUUCCCCUUGUCCAUGCCCUCGCAGCGCUCCUGCAACUCCACCGCGCCGCUCUCCACGAUGAGCGCGCGGUUCACCACAUCUCGAUAAGUCUGAAGGUUGGAGGACUGCACCAACCGAAAGAUCGAGGGCCGUAAUCCACGCUCGAAAAUGCGGGCCUUGUCCUCGUCGUCCCACACGACAAAAGGUACGCAAUGAAGAAGCCGAGAAAACUUCCUCUCGUACUCGGCCACCGUCCGAUCCUCUUGGCACAAGCCGCGCAGGUCCUGCUCCAUCUUUCUCUUGACGCUCCCUGGAAAGUACUUAGCCAUCAGAAGCUCCUUAAAUCUCUUCCACGAGAUCGCCGAUAAAUCCGUGUUCGGGUUGUCCCGAAUGUCCAGCCACCAACAGUAGGCCUCGCCGUCAAGAUGAUGUGUGGCGAGCCAAACUCUGUCCCUCUCCUCCACGAAGGUGUCGUGGAAUAACUUCUCUAUAUGCAUGAGCCACUUCUCCACUAUCCAGUGAUCCACCUUCUCUCUAUCGAAAAUCCGCAGAUUGCACUUCCUGAACUCGUUGAGGCGAUCCAUGAGUCGAUCCCGCUCGGCUCCCUCAACCAUCACGGGAAAAGCUGCCCCCGCCAAAGGCACCUGAGCUGGUGGUGCCGCAACGUCCUCCUCCCGAGGUGCCACCACAGGGGCCGUCCGAGAAGUGUCGAGUGCAGGGGAGGACACCCUGGGCGCAACCACCUCUAUCGAUGCGGGUGGUGCAAGUACCUGAGCCUCCCUGGCUGCCGCCUACUGCAGCAAAAGAUCCUCCAGGCGCUUCAUCCGUGCCUCCGGCCGGCGCGCCGCGUCCGCCUGCUGCUGUGCCGCCGCCACCUGCUGCACGACCAAGUCAGUGAGGGCAGCAAGCUGGCUCCUCAACUCACGAACCUCGCCGGAUCCGGAGGUAGCGGAGGUCUCCACCUCCUCAAGGUUCGCCGCAUUGUUCGCUCCAACAGACUUAGAGCGUGUAAUCGGCAUUAUCACUACAACAUCAUAAAAGCGCAAGUUAGUAAAACCCACACUAUUGCAACCCCGCUCAACAAUAAGUACCCAAUCAUGCGAAAGUAAGGAAGUGUUCUUUACUACUAAUUCCCGAUGUUACGUUGUUGGUCGCCAACGUAACCUUCCGUGAAGUUAGAAGCUAUACACUUCGAUGCAACUCCAACUUUUUAGAGUUAUAAUAAAAUCCAAUCACGAUACUUUCGCUUACGAAUCAAAUAGACCUCGUCUCUCACGAGCCUAUUUUCUAUAGUCCAUCCGGCCUAAGGUUUGCUAGGUCCACUAAGACUCAACCCUAGACUCUGAUACCAAAUUAAUCUGUCACGCCCCCGAACCCGGCGUAGGCCCGCCCAGUGCGUGCCCAGACCCGCCAUAUGCCUGCACAUAUAAGGCGUCUACAACAAUAGAGAUAUGAAAGCAAGGAAAGUAAGACAACUAUAGAUAUCAGAGCAACUAGCAGCUAAAUACUAACAACAAGUAGAGAAAAAGUAAACUGCUGCACUAAUAUAAAACAUAAAGUAAGUACAACAUCUGUCUCAAAAUACAAAAGGGGUGGUCUCUAUACACAGAUACAACUCUCAACCUCUCAAAAAUUAAACCAAUGAGAGGUAGACCACCUAUCGAUAAAUCCCUCGCCAAAGAGCUAGCUCGAGACGAUACCCUUUCCGCGAUCCCUAGCCUCACCCGGAGUGGAAGGCUCUAAAAGGAAACAAGAAACAGGGGGUGUGAGAACUAUAAUUUGUAGUUCCCAGUGGGCAAUUACUGACCUCAGCAUAAUGCACCACUAGGCCCAAAAGAGUAAGAUAGAUAUGAAAAGCAAUGGAAAAUAACUGCAGAUAUGAGAGCACAUAUAUUGAAUGCUAAACUACUAAGCCAUAAAUAACAUGAUGUCAAUAUAUUGUAUGUUCAUUCUACCAUGAUCAAGUAUGUCCAAUACAUAACUAAUAUGAUCCCACAUGGCAAGUAAGUAUACUGUAAUGCAAUGAGCGAUAUUACUUGUAAGAUAUGGAUCCCGAGGAUCUAAAAGAUAAGUAACACCUAGAGGGGGGUGAAUAGGUGUAACAACGGCAAACUCAAAAAUCUCGAUGCGAAUAAAACAAAAUAGCGAAAAAGAAAACAGCACACCGAGAAUUUAACGUGGGAAAACUCCAAAUGUCACGCCCCGGGACCCAGCGGGAGCCCGCCCGGCGCGUGCCCAGACCCGCCAUAUGUCUACAACAUAUAAGGCGUCUAAAAACAACAAUAAUAACAGCAAUAAUAAAAGACAUCUAGAAGUAUCAGAGCAUAAUAAAUGUCUAAAUGCUACAACAAGGGAUAAGGAUAAACUGUAAAUCCACUAAAUAAGGCAUAAAGUAAAUACAAUAGGAAAUCCCAAUUGCAAGUGCUAAAAGUAGGUAUAUAGGUGGUCUCUAUACAUGGAUACAAAAAUCUCUCACUCUCUCUCUCUCAACUACAAAAGAAGGAGUAAACCACCUAGGCAAAGUACCGCUCCUCGCUAGCUAGCUAAGCGAUCCCCUUGCCGCGAUCCCGUGCCUCCGCCGGUGCCGAAGGCUCUGAAAAGUAAACCACAAAACGGGGGCAUGAGAACUAUUAAAAAUAGUUCCCAGUGGGCAAUUACUGACUUCAGUGAAUGCACACAAGGCCCAAAGUACAGAAGAAUUAGUGACCAAAAAUGUGAGAAAAGCGAAAGUUAAGUAAACGUAACUUACUACUACAUAUAUCUCUCCCUUGCCUAAAAGCGUAAAGUAUGAAAAACCUUCAUGAAGUACAGUCUCCAACCUAUCAUUAAUGUCCACAAUGGAAAUAGUAAAGCUUCCUUGUUUACUAUUACUAUCAAUGUCCAAAAUAAUACUCUAAGUCAUCAUCUAUCCACAUGUCGUAACGGAUAUUAUUAAAUUCAAUUAAAGAGACCCACCGAAGGCUGUCUAAUGGCCCUGAGACCACCCGGUAGGCUGUCUGGCAGUGCGAGCCUAAUGGGCCCGUGCGUAGUCAUUCAUCCCACCCUGAGCGAAUGAGCUUGGCCCACCUGGCUUAAUCACUUCAGCGCCUCAAUCGACAUGGCGAAUAUGUAAUCGCGCAUGGCCAUCUCCGCGAGCUGGCGCUUGUAGGGAUGCGCCUCGAUCAACUAUGUGCGAAUGAGCACUAAGGCAAGUAGUCAAACGAUCCAGUCGCAUAGAUCAUUCCUGUCAAAACAUCGAUAUAUAGUAAAAUUUUCCUCGUGCCAAUCAACUAUUUCAUCAAUCUUCAAAUAUGAAUAUUAAGUUGAUGUGCAUAUGUCCUCUUCUCAGAGUCUCUAUGUUGCCAGUUAAAUAAUUCUUCUAGUUCAAUGCUCUUAUAUGAAUAUAUGGUUGGCUCUAUUUUGUCUCCAACGAUGGGAUACUAAGUUCAAGAAAUUACAAUUCUAGUUCAAACCGAAGCAUGAAACUUGAUUGCCUAUCAUCUCAUAGAAUAUUGUCGCUGAGCAUCUUAACAAAUGCACAUUGUCUCUCUCUCUCUAGUAAUAGAGUAAAUUUUGGCUUGAUGCACAACACAAAAUGAGUCUAGCUUCAAACUCUCAUCAUAAAUGCCUACUAACAUGAAUUUAAGGAGCAUAAAGCAUUUAAACACUUUAGAGGAAUUUCCUCCAAUUCAAAGGAAGCCAAAGCCCACGAUUGGAACGAAACUCCUCGUGCCUCCAACAGAGGGUGUCUGGCGUGGGUCUCCUAGUAUCCUAGAGUCAAAGAUACACCCCGUUCAUACGGCAAACAAAACAAACCUAGCUCAAACAUAUUAAGCAAAUAAUCAUAGGUGAGGAAAAAUCACUCUAGUGCAAAAAUCUCUUCUACAAAUGGACUCCAAAAUGAUACUAGGCUAUCCAAUUCCAACUAUAUGGAAGCCUCUAAUCAAUCAAAUCUAGCUUCAAAAGCGCUUAGAAUAUCAAAAUGCCCAAAUUAACACCUAAUAUUCUAAUUCUAGUCGUUUAAUCUGACAAAAACCUUCAAAUCAACGGAGCAAAGGGAGAAUCAAGCUUAACUCUCAAGAAGCUCCAAACCUAUAGCUCCAAAUCAAGUUGGGUGGAGUCUCCUCAGCCACAAGCUUCUCCAAGCUCAUAAGCCAUCAAACAAUGGUGAGAAGCCACCUAUAUGAUGCCAAAAAGAGGAGAGAAAACCAAAUAAAAACCAAGCAAAAAGGGGGUAAAAAUGCAAAAGAAAGGAGAGAGAGAGUCCUCUCACUUCUCCUCUCAUCGGUCCCAGACAAAAAAAGCCCUAAAGGGCUGGUGAUUUAUAGAUAGGCUACGUUAAUCGCGACUAAAACCCCUCAGAUACCAAACAUGCACAAAAACUGCCUCCUUGUACCGGUACACGGGUUCUUGUACCGGUACAAGGCCGACGAAAAUGCAAACCCGAAGCUCGGGUUGUUCGGUCUGCGGCUCUGUACCGGUACAAGCCCGAUGGCUGUACCGGUACAACCAUCAACCCUUGUACCGGUACAAGGCCAGUCUUGUUCCGGUACAAGCCCUGCUGCAGGCUACCCGAGAGCUGUCCAAAAAUUCCGAUUUUGGAAUUUUGGUGCCAAGUCCUACUCCAACAUCCUCGGGAUGCGUGCCAGGGGUCGGGACACUAUCAACGACCCUCCAAAAACUGUGGAAAGGCUCCACACACAGAUCAAACACUCGAAUCUUGCAAUUUGCUAAGAUCCAGUGCAUUACACCAAAUCAGAGUGAAAAACCCACGGGACCAAUCACGCAAAGAAAAUCCACUAAGAAAACAUGAGUGCAAGUGAUCUUGACCAAAACACACGACUCAAUUUACCGAUUUCCCGUAGAUGACGAUCUUCGCCGGUCCUCGAUCGAUAGGAAUCCUCCAAUCGACCUUGCCGCAACUCCUCGCAGCGUCAACGCCUCAAUUCCUCGAAGCGUCCAUCGAAUCUUCGGCUUCACGCGAGAUCCACGCGUCGAACCUCCUUCCGGAGCUUGUAGAAUCGAAGAUUUGUGAUGAUUUAACCUUUAAAUACCAUAAGCUAUGAGGGUUCACCUUUAAUCAAACAUCUACUUGAUUCUCGUAAGAGUUAUCGAGUUAAAACGAAGAAUCAAGCCGAUUGUUGAUUGUUAGAAACUCAUUAUGUGAAUCUAUGCAUUGAACGGAGAAAAAUAAGUUUCUAGGGUUUAGAAUCAAUAAAUAUUCAAAGCCUUAAACUUUUAGAUGACCCACAUAGCUUACUUAUAUGUUUAGAAGACUUAGAAGUAGACUAGGAUUGCAAAAAGUCCUUUUUUAAAAACCUGUGUCGUCCUCAGAGACCGGUCUUCUCGAGGAGACCGGUCUGUGAGAGACCGGUCUCUCAAGUGAGGAACCGGUCCCUCGCUGCGUGACUAAAAUCACAACGUUCGGGAACCGGUCUCUCAAGCUUGAGACCGGUCCCUUGCUGCGCGACAGAAAUACCAAGGUUCGGGAACCGGUCUCUCAUCACAGGGGACCGGUUGCAUCAAGGUUCACGCAGUGAGGACCUUAGGGGAACCGGUUUCUUGAACUCUGAGACCGGUCCCAGAACACAGAAAAGUUCAGUAAAGUAGUUCUAAAACCAUCUAAGCUUUCUGAACUUAUUCUAACUAGGUAUCUUCACCACAAAUAAUCUUUUCUUCAUACCUUAGGUGUCGAGCUUUCCGAAUGAGUCUUAGUUCUUCAAUUUGAAUCUUUUCUUCAAAACUUCUGCGAUCCACUCUUCAAGACUCCAACCAACUUUACGAAAUUCGCCAACCUAUAAAAUCCUUAACAAUCUCCCCCUUUGGCGAUUUCGUGACAAAAUAUACUAUAAAUUCGUACACAACGCAGAAACAAUAAAAAGAAGAUCAUCACAAUCACCAAACGAUAAUCUCCUGCAUGAUCGAUCCAAUAAACGAAAAUUACAAUUUUCAUAAUCUUAAUACAAACUCUAUGACUUAGACAUGGAGUCUUGAAGUCUUGAAUUAUUCCUGCAAAAACAUUCUCAAAACAUAAUUAAGAUUCAAGUAUCAAGAUCAAACAAAAUAUCAAGUCAUAGUUCAUAAUCAAACACCUAAAGCACUAACUAAACAAAGUUCAUCUAAAGUUCAUCUAAACAAAAUGCUGCAUCAAAGAAAAAUACAUCAUGAAGCUAAGCUAAAAUGCAUCAUCAACAUCAAGAACCACCAUCUCCAUCUCCCCCUUUUUGUCAGAAAGCGCCAAAAUGACAAAAGAAGGAACCCGGUAACACCUAAUCGGAAGCAUCCCCUGGAGGUAAAUCUGCUCGGCAACAUCCUAACUUGUCAAAAAUCAUAUUCAAUAAGCGCUUCAUCUUGCUUACAUCCUUCCGAAUCGCAGCUUGCUCCGCAGACAAUUUCUGAAGCUCCUCAGAUAGACGUUGUUGCUCACGAUACACAGAGGAAACGGAGAUAUCUUCUUCAGAAAUGUCCAUAGAAAGUCAUGAAGAAGUAGCAGUAGCAGGAGGUGGAGCAGCAGGAGGGGAAAAAGCACGCUGAGACGGUGUACGAAGCUGCACCGAGGACUUCACAAAUGUCCGUUCAUUUAUCCGACCCAAACUGUGCUCAUAAGAUGUACACCGGACAUCCACAUCACGAAGUCGCAGAAUCCUCAUGAUUAUCAAUGGAAAUGGCAGCCUUUCAUUUUGUCCAGAAGUUUUGAUGUCUUUUGCCAUCCUCCGCCAGAUCAGAAACGGAAUAUUCACGUUAAUAUUCUUUGCACUCACAAUAUGUGGCCUUCCCAAAAGAUACAUAUACAGAAUACGAUCCCACCUCAGAAUCUUCGUGUUUGCGAGAGGCAGAAUGUUGUAGCAAACAACGAAGUUUAAAAAACGAUACUCCAUUUUGAAAUCUUUGGACAUAACCAUAAUGCCGUUCGACUCGGUUCCCGGCAUGCAAAUAGUGUUCACUACACGAUUCCAAUCGCGAAGUGAGUCGAACCCAGAUUGUAGAUAUUCCACUCCGUCAGUCUUAGCUUCCAUACCUAGCACCGACGCUAUUGUAUCAGGAGUGAUGGAUAACUGAACACCACGUACGGAAGUCUUAAACACGUACGGGCCGCCGUCGGAGUCACAUAGAUGACCUGCUCUCAUAUAGAAUUCUCUGAUCAAUUCCAAACAAAAACCGGUUUGCUCCGGAAAAUUACAAAUCUGAUGAAGAUUUCCCUGUUCAAAUAAAUCCUGAAAACCCGGCACACAACUAAUGAUACUGGCCACCCCAACAUCUCGCUCACCAAUGCAGUGUUUCGACGAGUACAUUGACCGUCGAUUAGAUGGAACAUCCUGCAGACUGUGACGUGGUGGCUCAGAUCCCGGUUAUCGAAUUUCAACACCUCCGGACUUACGACGACCGGGACGCUCAGUCGCCUUUCCUUUGCCUUUAUCCACAGCUUUUCCUUUUCCCUUGCCUUUCCCAGUAUCCUUAUCCUUAGCUAAUACCUCGGGAACAAAGGCCUCCCAAUCCGGUUCAUCCUCCUCAGAGUCGUCGCCAGGAGCAUAUUCGCUCUCUUCAUCUUCCGGUUGAUACUCAAUCGGCCGUUUAGCUUUGGAGCGCUGUCGUUUGCUUCCACGACCACCGCCAGCCAUAAGAACAACAAGCACAAGAAGCCACGAGUACAUUUUCGAAAAUCACCUGUUAAACAUAAUGAAAUUUACAUAUAUAAAAACAAAUUUUUCCAAAAAAAUUCCAAACAUGUUUAGCAAGUUGGUAUAUAAAUACUAGAUGAUCCUAGGGGCCUCAAGAUCAUGAAAAACAAGAACCACUCAUGCACCAAAAUCAGCCAAAAGCAAUUUCCCACAAAAAAAAAAAACAUUGAAAAUCAAAUUUUUAUCAUGAUAAACCUACAAAAUGAACCAAAAAGAUGAAGAAAUACUAGAGAAAAUGAAAAUAACGGAUCUAAAAACAAGAUCGAAGCCUAAAAGAACACAUUCAUCAAGAUCUCUAGAACAAACACCAAAAAAUCUGAAAUAAAACCUAAUUUCGAAAUAUAUCAAAUAAAAGUAACAAAAUCCGAAAUCUUACCUACAAUCAAUGCAAACCAAGGAAGAUCGGGAGCAAUCCCACUCUAAGGACAAGAGAGAAGCAGGGGAGAACACUGGAAACGAAAAGCUCAAGUUUUAAAAGAAAUAAAAAAAAAACUACGCAUAAGUCCUUUUAUCGGGUCUGGCGGAGUGACCGGUCUCUCUCGCCUGGUACCGGUCCCAGAACCUGAAAAUUUUAAAAUGUUUUAAAUGUCGCCCGAAAAUUCAAAGAAAAAUGUAAGGAUAUUUCAAAAUGUUUAAUCAUCACAAAUAACCUAUUUCCAUCCACAAAAACUUUAAAUAAAAUUUCAUAAAUAAAUUUUGAAAAACUAAUUUCAGGGAUAUUCAAAAUUUCAAAUUUUUGACCCGAAAAUCAAUGAGACUUCUCGAUACAUAUAAAAUAAAAUCCCACACAUCAUGCAAGAUCUAGGAAUAUAUUGUAUCAUUUUACCAUCAUAUUUUGUUUAAAGAAAAUGAAUAAAUAGUUCUCAUAAUCGUGAAAUUAACAUAACAUGAUCAAAUUGAGUUAUGCACAUCAUUCGAGACAGGAGUGGCUCUUUGAGCAUCUUUUAUUAACAUUCCACCUUAUAUCACCUACAAGAUGUAUAGCUCUUUGAGCAUAUUAUUCUUACUUUUUCUCUUUCUGAGAGGUACUUUCCUUUUGUCUCACAUAGAUACUUUAAUCAACACGUGGUAGCUGCACACACUAACCGGACGACCGGGGUGGUAGCUCUUUCCUCCAUGUGGUGGUAGUUUUCACACUCCCAGCAGGGAUGUAACUCUUUUCACAUCUUGAAUUUCAGAAAUUUUCAUAGCUAAAAUUGGAAAGACUCCCCCUAAAUUAGUGCAACCCUCAAGUCAAAAAUAUUAUAGCUAUUUCAAAAACAGAGAAAGAUUUAUUCAUCUCAAAACUAAUAAUCAAACAAACAAUUCCAACAUUCAAAUUUCAAAGCAUGAGGUGCUGAAUUUGAUUCAAUAUGCUAAACAGAAUUUCAAUGAUUUGAUCGUUCAAAAAUAUGUCAAUAGAGAAUAACCCUGACAUUGAUCAAUCAAAAAUUAAAUAUGAAAUACUUAAAUUCACAGAUCAACUCAUCUCCCAAAACAGCAACAUUAUGCAAGAAAUUCAACCAACCCUCAAACACCGAAAAUCAUGCAAGAAAAGAAACAAAAUAUGCAACAUGCACAUGAUCUGUGGCUCAAUAGAAUAUAUCUAGAUUGAAGGAUUCAUACCAAUUGCCUUUCUUAAAUGCAGAAAACGCUUUUGAUCCAAAGGUUUGGUUAGAAUAUCGGCAAGUUGAUUUUCAGUUGAAAUGUAUUCAAGUUGUAAAACGUUUGAUUCAACCAGUUCUCUUAAAAAGUGAUAUCUUAGUUCAAUAUGUUUUGUUCGAGAAUGUAAAACAGGGUUUUUAGAAAUAUUAAUUGCACUCGUGUUGUCACACAGAAUAGUAAGAGUGGUAGAAGGAAUCCGAUAGUCGCUCAGUAAGCUUUUCAUCCAAAUUAAUUGAGUAGAGCAACUCCCAGCCGCAAUGUAUUCAGCUUCUGCAGUGGAAAGAGCAAUACAAUUUUGUUUCUUACUGUGCCAAGCGACCAAACAAUGUCCAAUGUAAAAACAAGCUCCACUAGUACUUUUCCGAUCAUCUGCGGAGCCUGCCCAGUCAGCAUCCGAGUAGCCGAUUAGGUCAAGAGAGGUUCCCAUAGGAUACCAGAGGCCAUACUCGGUUGUUCCUUUAACAUACCGAAUGAUCCUUUUAACUGCUUUCAGAUGUACUUCCUUAGGGUUAGCCUGAUAACGAGCACAGAUUCCAACACUAAACGCAAUAUCUGGCCUGCUCGCAGUCAAGUACAAUAAGCUACCAAUCAUGUUUCUGUAUUGUUUCUCAUCCACACUCUGACAUUCUGAAUUCAACCCAGUCCUUUGUUGCUUGUACCCAUUGGAGUGUCAAAAUCUUUUGCACUGUCCAAUCCAAAUUUCUUAACCAGUUCCUUUGCAUACUUUGUCUGUGACAGAUGAAUUCCAUCUUUUGAUUGUUUAACUUGAAGUCCAAGGAAGUAAUUAAGCUCCCCCAUCAUCGACAUUUCAAACUCGCUGGUCAUUAACUUUGUAAAAUCAGCGGCAUCCUUAUCUUUAGUAGCUCCAAAAACUAUGUCAUCCACAUAUAUUUGUGCCACUAUGAAAUUAUACUUCAGAUGUUUUACAAAGAGAGUCCUAUCCGCUCCCCCUCGAUUAUAGCCCUUUUCCAAAAGAUAUUUUGUCAACCGUUCGUACCAUGCUCGCGGAGCUUGUUUUAGUCCAUAAAGUGCCUUUUUCAAUCGAAAAACAUGAUUUGAAAAUUUUGAGUCAAUAAAACCUUUCGGUUGUUCAACAUAAACUUCCUCUUUUAAAAAUCCAUUUAGAAACGCACUUUUGACAUCCAUUUGAAAGAGCGUGAUUUUAAAAUGGCAAGCAAUUGCGAACAAGAUACGAAUAGAUUCCAGACGGGCAACCGGAGCAAAGGUUUCAUCAAAGUCUAUUCCCUCAAUUUGUGAGUACCCCUGAGCCACAAGUCUAGCUUUGUUCCACACAAUAGUACCAUUCUCAUUUUUCUUAUUCUUAAAGAUCCAUUUGGUACCAAUAAUAUGUUGUUGCUCAGGACGAGGUACCAAUUCCCAUACAUCAUUACGAACAAAUUGACCAAGUUCUUCUUGCAUGGCAUUUAUCCAAUAUUCAUCACAAAGAGCUUCGUCGACAUUCUUUGGCUCAAUCAAAGAAACAUAACAUGCAAAUUCACAUUGUAACUGACUUCUUGUUCGCACACCAACAUUAGGAUCCCCAAUCACAUUUGACAAAGGGAUUGUCUUCUUGACUCUUGUCAGGGGGUAUUCUCAGGAGCGUAUGCUAGUAGAUUUUCAGACGUGUGUUUUGUGAGCCUCAAUGAAUCAUUUGAUUAAUUAUUUUCAGAAGAGUGUAAUGGGAAUUAUCAAGUGUAGAAAUUAUCAUCAUUCACAGGCAAUACAAACGGUAGAAUCAUUAGCAUCAUCAUUCAUCAAAGAGUUAGAAGACCGAUUCAAGAAGAACUCACAGAGAAGCUUCAUUCUAGUUUUAUAUGAUAGACAUCUACAACCGCUUGAGUGAUCUGUAAAUUGUACGGCGACUGAUAGACUUACGACUUGUCGUAGAAUAACCAAGGGAAAUAUGGCCUUGUCACUGCCGAGAGUAACAAAUUUUCGAAGAUUUUUCACGAUCCGUAAGGAUAUAAACAUUAUUACUCGCCGAAGGACACGAAAGUUAUUUAAUGUUUAGGUUUCCUACCAAGCCAAAGUUCAUAAGGCGUAUUCAAAGUGCCGGACUCAACAUAAAUCGAUUGAUAAAUAGACAAGCUGUGUAUAACUGUUUCAGCCAAAAAUGUAAAGCAAUUUUUGACUAUUGAAGCUAACCGAGACGCAUCUCUUGUACAACCCUAUUCUUGUCGUUCAACCACUCGGUUUCUGUUGGGGUGUAUAGGGAAUCGAGAAUUCUGUGUUUUAUACCAUUUGAACACAGAAAUCAACAAAUUUAGAAUUUAGAAUUCUCCCCCUGAUCGUUCGAAUACGUACAAUUUUAUCAUUUGUUCAGUCAUAAGGACGGAGGCAGAUUUCAGAAAAAGAAUUAAAGUAUCAGCUUUUUUCUGUAGUAAGGCAUCCAUACAAAGCGAGUAAAAUGCAUCAGACAAUAAAAGAUAUAGCGUUUUCCCCCAAACUUUGAAUCUAGAUGGUCCAUCAGUCCAAUUCGAAGUAGACUCUAAAGGCUUAGUACUGUCCCCAUUAGUGGUUUUCAAGUCUUUAUGGUGGAUCUAGUUUGUUUUUCACCCAAUUGGCAACCCCACAGCAGUGUUCUAUCUUAAAAUCAUCUUAGGUAACCGUUAACUUACCUGUCCUUCUGUGUACUAUAGCUCCUUAAAAGUUUAUGUGCCCUAGUCGUUCAUUUGCCCAUAAAGUUUCAGUUUCUAAUGACGCGUAGUUACAGAUGUUCAGGUGGACGAACUAGGACUAAUAACAAUUAUUCUGCGGAUCUAAUGCCCUUUAAAACAGAUUUUCAUCACGGUCACAUGCAUUCAUUUAUCAGAAAAAUUCAAAGAAUGAUCCGUCAUCACACAGUUGGUUUAUGUUACGAAGAUUAUAGAUUUGAAGCCCCUCAACAUAAAAAGAACUGUUUCAACAGUAAGGGCAUCUUGAAAUAUACAUGCUCUGUCUUUUUCCACAAUAUUUUGACGAGUCGAGUUCUCCAAAACAACAAGUCCUGUCGGGGAUUUUGCGUUCAAAGGAAGUAAACCAGAUUUUAUCUCGGUCACGGUGUGACAGGGAACAGCCACUAUCCAGGAUAUCCAUGAUGAUUAUCGUAAGCAUGAAGCGGAAGUGCUGAAUGACUAGGCAUGGAAGAGUUUCACACUUGCGCACCAAACUUACGUGUUUUUGGGCUUAUGUCCUUCGUUGCUUUGUUGUGAUGUGGCUUAGUCGACGAUUUGAAUUGACUUCUUCUUCAUAUCUCCUUCUUGGUUUCCACGCCUAUGUUUGCUUUGAUUCGGAGAUUUGGUCUGUCCAUGUUCGUUUCUUUAUGGAAUCAACCUUUUUUGGAGUCCAAGUUGAUUUCCUCUUGAUAGAUCAUACUUUCAUAAGUGAUGUUCUUUGAUUCAAGGUGUUGAUGAGCCUUUCCCUUUUGUUGCCAGCUUCUUUAUUCUAAAGACCAAAAACUAUAGUCAGAUUAUUUUGAGGAGGGACGAACUUACCAUAGAGCUUAGGAACAUCAGUUGAUGAAUGUCCGCCAUCUUUCUUUGUUGCUUGGUCAACAUAGGUCCGUUCGUACCCAAGUCCAAGUUUGUUUGUUUGACCAAGUCCAAGCAUCUUGUCGAGUUUACUUGAUCCAGACGAAAAUUGGUUCAAAUCUGACUUUAGUUGAAUAAUCGUCUUGGUGAAUUCCAUAUUUGCUUCUCUAGCUUUUGAGUAUUGCUUGGUGAGAAAAGUGAUAUUCUCCACUUGUGUCUCUUUUUCUUUUUCAAGUAAUGAGCACUUCUCGAUCAAGGAAUUAUGGGCCUUCGUCAAGCCAUCUCUCUCUUAUUCUAAAUCCUUUGUUAGAGAGACCAAUUUUGCAUUUUCUUGUUCCAACUCAUGUAGGCUUCGCCGCAGUCUCUUGUUAUGUUUAGCCAUCUUCUUUGAUUCAACAACCAAUUGUUGAUAUGCUGCGACUAUGUCAUCUUCGUCCGAUUCUUCAUCCGAUGAGUUCUCCGAAGAUGACUUCUCUUGUAUAGAUGUUAUGGAGAUCGAGUCAGCAGAUACUAAACACAUAAGAGUUGAAUCCUGUGCAAUUAGUGCCGUGGCAUUUACAUCCUCUUCACUCGAAGUGGAAUCGUCAGAUGAGGAGUCAUCCCAAGUAAUAGCUUGCAUCGCUUUCUUCUUCAACGACUUUUUAUUAGGACAGUCAGAUGCGAUAUGGCCAAAGCCUCUACACUUGUAGCAUUGAAUUUGACCUUCACCGCUUUUCUUCUCUUUUGUGGAGUCCUUUUGAGAGUUAUCAGAUUUUCUGUAUUUUGAUGAGGAAGAAGAAGACGAACCCCCUUUAGAUUUGUUUGUCUUGGAAGAAGUAGACUUGGGAGGAAACUUCUUUCUAAAGUUCCGACGAAACUUCUUUGUAAGAAGUGCUAGUUGCUUUUCAAAGUCCUCCAGGCUUUGCUCCGACUCUGAAUCUGAUGAGGUUGAAGUGACAUCUCCUUUUGUUGAUUUUAGAGCCAUCCCUGAGGCUUUAGAAAAAGACUUGGAAGAAGACGAAUUAGAUGGAAAAGUCAUUUCAUAAGUUUGAAGAGCACCUACUAAUUCUUCUACCUUGAGUUCAUCAGGAUGUUUGACCGUUUCAAUAGCUGCAACCUUAGGGCGGAAUCGUUCGGGAAGGAUUCUCAAAAUUUUUCGAACAAUUUUGGAAUCGGGAAUUUUCUCGCCCAUGUUAGCACACGUGUUUACAAUGUCUUGCAGACGAGCAUAGUACUCGGUAAAAGAUUCAUGUUCUUCCAUACGAAUGGAAUCAAAUCUACUAGUAAGCAUUUGCAAUUUUUGAAUCUUAACCAAGCUUGUACCCUCGUGUGUAACUCGCAAAGUGUCCCAAAUCUCUUUGGCGAUUUCGCACGCCGAGACGCGAGAAAAUUCAGUUUGAUUUAAAGCAUUGAAUAAAGCAUUGAUACCUUUCCCGUUGAACGAAGAUAGUUCAUUUUCCUCUUUCGUCCAUUUAUUUCUAGGUUUCGGUACGGUAACAUUCUCGACAACUUCGGUAGGAUGUUUCCAUUCGAAUUCAAUGGCUUGCCAAACCCGCUCGUCGAUAGCAAUAAGAAACGCCCUCAUACGGACUUUCUAAUAAGUGUAGUUAGUGCCAUCGAAGAGCGGGGGUCGAUUGAUGUUACCGCCCUCAGCCAUGAAUUACAACCUAUACCCGCUCUGAUACCACUUGUAAGAUAUGGAUCCCGAGGAUCUAAAAGGUAAGUAACACCUAGAGGGGGGUGAAUAGGUGUAAAAACGGCAAACUCGAAAAUCUCGAUGCAAAUAAAACAAAGUAGCGGAAAAUAAAACAGCACACCGAGAAUUUAACGUGGGAAAACUCCAAUUCGGAGUGAAAAACCCACGGGACCGAUCACGCAAAGAAAAUCCACUAAGAAAACUUGAGUACAAGUGAUUUCGACCAAAAACACACGACUCAAUUUACCGAUUUCUCGUUGACGGUGAUCUUUGCCGGUCCUCGAUCGAUAGGAAUCCACCAAUCGACCUUGCUGCAACUCCUCGCAGCGUCAACGCCUCAACUCCUCGAAGCGUCCACCGAAUCCUCGGCUUCACGCGAGAUCCACGCGUCGAACCUCCUUCCGGAGCUUGUAGAAUCGAAGAUUUGUGAUGAUUUAACCUUUGAAUACCAUAAGCUAUGAGGGUUCACCUUUAAUCAAACAUCUACUUGAUUCUCGUAUGGGUUAUCGAGUAAAAACGAAGAAUCAAGCCGAUUGUUGAUUGUUGGAAACUCGUUAUGUGAAUCAAAGCAUUGAAACGAAGAAAAAUAAGUUUCUAGGGUUUAGAAUCAGUAAAAAUUCAAAGCCUUAAACUUUUAGAUGACCCACAUAGCUUAUUUAUAUGUUUAGAAGACUUAGAAGUAGACUAGGAUUGCAAAAAGUCCUUUUUAAAAACCUGUGUCGUCCUCAGAGACCGGUCUUCUCGAGGAGACCGGUCUGUGAGAGACCGGUCUCUCAAGUGAGGAACCGGUCCCUCGCUGCGUGGCCAAAAUCACAACGUUCGGGAACCGGUCUCUCAUCACAGGGGACCGGUUGCAUCAAGGUUCACGCAGUGAGGACCUUAGGGGAACCGGUCUCUUGAACUCUGAGACCGGUCCCAGAACACAGAAAAGUUCAGUAAAGUCGUUCUAAAACCAUCUAAGCCUUCUGAACUUAUUCUAACUAGGUAUCUUCACCACAAAUGAUCUUUUCUUCAUACCUUAGGUGUCGAGCUUUCCGAAUGAGUCUUAGUUCUUUAAUUUGAAUCUUUUCUUCAAAACUUCUGCGAUCAACUCUUCAAGACUCCAACCAACUUUACGAAAUUUGCCAACCUAUAAAAUCCUUAACAAGAAGGCCGCAGACUGCGCUAAAAAAUGCGGGCCUUGUCCUCGUCGUCCCUCACAACAAGCGGUACACAGUGUAGUAUCCGGGAGAACUCCCUCUCGUAUUUAGCCAUUGACCGCUCGUCCUGGCGCAAGCUGCACAAAUCCUGCUCCGUCUUCCUCUUGACGCUGGUCGGGAAGUGGUGCGCCAAUAGAAGCUCCUUGAACCUCGUCCAAGUAAUCGCUGCCAAGUCGGUGUUGGGGCUGUCCUGGAUAUCCAACCACCAACGGUAGGCCUCGCCGUCCAGAAAAUGGGUGACGAGCCAAACUCUGUCCCUCUCCUCGACGAAGGUAUCUCGAAACAGCUUCUCCAUGUGCAUCAAACACUUCUCAACAAUCCAGUGGUCGACGUUCUCGCCAUCAAACGUCCUCGGGCUGCACCUCCUGAACUCACCGAGGCGCUCCAUGAGCCGAUCCCGCUCUGCUCCCUCAGCCAUCACGGGGAAAGUCGCCCUUGUCGCUGGUCUCUGAACUGGUAGUGCCGCAGCCACCUCCUCCCGGGGUGCGAUCGCCGGUGCUGCACGUGAAGAACUGGGCGCGGGGGACAGCGCCCUCGGUGCGACGUUCACCACGGGUGCUAGCGGUGUGGGACCCUGGGUCUCCCUCGAAGCUGCCGCUUGCUGAAGUAGGAGGUCCUCCAGAUGCUUCAUUCGCGCCUCCUGCCGCUGAGCCAUCUCAGCCUGUCGCUGCGCCGCUGCCGUCUGCUGCGCCAACAGAUCAGUGAGAACCGCAAGCUGGGCCCUCAAGUCACGGACCUCACUAGAUCCGGAAGUAACGGAGGUCUCGACCUCCUCGGGAUGUGCCGCAUCAUCCGCCCCGGCAGACUGGGAGCGUGUAAUCGGCAUCGUCACUACAAAACAUAAAAGCGCAAGUUAGUAACACACGCUAUCGCAUCCCCGCUCAAAAUAACCCAAACCCCGAAUCAUGCGAAAGUGGGGAAGUAUCCUUCACUACCAACUCCCGAUGUUACGUUGUCGGCCGCCAACGUAACCCUCUGCGGAGUUAGAAGCCAUAUACUCCGAUCGAACUCUAACUUUUUAGAGUUAUCAUAAACCCAAUCAGGAUACUUUCGCUCACAAGUCAAAUAGACCUCGUCUCUCACGAGCCUACUUCCUAAAGUCAAACCGGCCUAAGGUUCGCUAGGUCCCCUAAGACUCAACCCUAGGCUCUGAUACCAAAUUAAUCUGUCACGCCCCGGGACCGGCGGAGGCCCUCCCGGGGGCGUGCCCAGACCCGCCAUAUGUCAACACAUAUAAGGCGUCUACAAUAAAAGCGAAAGUAAAAGCAAGAGAUAGAACAAAUAGGAUAAAUAGCAACUAAUGAUAUCAGAGCGAGUAAAGUUCUAUCCUCAAAACCAGAGUAAAAGAAACAUAUCUAACAAUAAAAGUAGCCAUAAAGUGAUACAAUAUCAGUCUCAAAGGUACACAAAAGGGUGGUCUCUAGUACACUGGUACAGCUCUCAACCUCUCCAAAAAGAAAUACAUCGAGAGGUAGACCACCUAAACUCGUCUCUCGCUGAAGGGCUAACUCGAAGCGACGCCCUUCCCACGGUCCCUAGCCUCUCCCAGCGUGGAAGGCUCUGAAAGAAAAUAUAAAACAGAGGGUGUGAGAACUAUAAUUUAUAGUUCCCAGUGGGCAAUUACUAACCUCAGCUCAUCGCACCACUAGGUCCCAAAAGAAAGGGUGAGUCAAAAGCAGUUGAAAUAAUAACAAUGAGUAAAUUGCAUUUAUGAAAGCAUAAUUAAAAGCUACUCUAAUGCAUUGUAAUUACAUAUGGCAUUUAUGUAAUGCACCUUUAUCUUGUCAUGAAUACUAUGCCUCUACAUGGCCACAUGGGAUAUCAUGAGAUACUUCAUGAAGUUAUGAAAGUGAUACUUUAUCAUGACUACAAUGCAUGUACGAAGGCAAUAAACGACAUCUCCUAGCAUACUACAUGUAUGUAUGAGUACCCAAUUGCCCACAUCUAUGCUAGAAGCAAAUCCAAGUAAUCCAACUACUACUCUCUAUCUAGUAGUGAUUAUCACACACUCAACAUUGUGUCGGUUUCCAUUUCCAAAUAGGGACCUACCCAAGGUAGUCCAGCUUGUGCCGCCUAAGUGCCUGUGGUAGCCCAACAUUCCUACUCUUGGAAUGUAUCUGUCCCACUCGAUCCCGUAGGCUUCUCAACACCGCACGAGCGAACAUAAGUCGCGUAGGCUAACUCCGGAGUGCCGGCUUGUGGAGAGUGACCGACACAAGCAUGUGCGAAUGAGCACAAAUGGCAAACAAGCAAGGUCACUGUCUCAAAUACUCUAUCCACAUGUCUCUAACAUGGCAAGGUCACUAGCAUCCCAAGGAUCUAGCCCAAUGUCUCUAAGUGAUGUCCCAACACUCACUUGCUUAGUGCCUCUUUAUGACACUUAAGCAUCACACUGAUCAAGCCCAACUCUUGUUCUAUGUUUCAUUUAAACAUUAAUACCAAUGAUUACCAUAGCCCGGGCCCAAUGCCUCUUUAUGACAUUGACCCAAUUCUCAAAUAGUCCAAGUUCUCAAGCCCUCUCUAGGCUUCUAAAAUCCCUAAUGUCACAAUUGGCAUAUAGGUUAAAUGCAAGAAAGCAAGAUCCAUUUUCAUGAUAGGGGCCAUAGUUCCAAAUCUCAUCUAGAAUGCUAUGUUUCACAUGCAUGCUCUCUCUACUGCAUAGAGGUCAAAAAUCUACUAUAUGUAACAUGAACAUUUUAAGCAUUCAAAAAUUCACAAUAAAUACAUAUAACAAGAAUAUGCAUGCUUUUUCAUUUUACGACAUUUAAAACAUUAACAAUGGGAUUUUUCCGUUGUGUGGCUAGGUCAAACCCACCGAACCGUCGCGUGCUCCCUCGAUUCGCCGAACGAAGUUGUCCACGAGCCUCGAACUACCCUAAAAGUAUCGAGCGAAGAGAUACACGGGCAUUACGAUCAACUCUAGGCUCAAACAUUAAUAAUCACAAGAAUAGGGCAAAAACUCACCUAGGGGGUAGAAACCCUCUCUCAAGUUCCAAAAGGAGGCUAGGAUCCUUCAAAAGCAACCUAAACCAAGGUUCUAAUCUCAUAAGAUUAGCUCAAAAAGCCUCCAAUCAAAAAGCCCCAAAUAAACCCCAGAUUUCCCAUUCUAGGGUUUCAUCCUCCAAAAUCUACCCAAAGCUAGGUCUAGAGGGAAGAAACAAACAACCAACCUCAAGAGAACUCCAAUUCAAGCUCCAAGGGUGAAGAUCUUCUCUCAAGCAAGCUCCAAGUUCAAGCUCCACGCACCAAGGAAGAAGAGAGGGUGAGGAAGAUGCUCCAAGUCCACUAGUAGCUCUCCAACUUCUUCUUCUUCCCUCCUUCUUCUCCUUCUCCUUCUUCUUCUUUUUCUCCUUCUUCUCUAUCAAGGGUGUAGAGAGAGUUGAGAGAAGAGAAAUGAGGAGAGGAGAGAGUGGAUGGGUCAUAUAGACCCUCUAUUGUAACAAAAACCAGCUAGGUCCCUCAAAAAUCCAAAAUUGCAUCAGCCCGGUCUGGGCCAUUUUCGCCCAGAAGGAUCGGUCUCUCCCCAGCAGGGAUCGGUCUCUCGCUGCGAACCCGAAAAACCAACGUUCGGGAACUGGUCUCUCCCUGUGCGGGACCGGUCUCUCACUGCGAAGGCGCGCUCGGGGACCGGUCUCGCCUGCCAGGGACCGGUUGCCUCAAGGCUGCCGCAACACUGCUCACUGGGGGACCAGUCUCUCCUUCCAGGGACCGGUCCCCGAGAGUAAAAACUCUCAGGACUUGUCCAGAAUUCCAGUUUUUGAACUUUUUAAGUCGGAAAACAUUCUACAACCCUCCACCUAGUGUGGAAAAGCUCGAAAUACCUCCAAACACUCGAACCUCGCAAUUUGCAAAGGUCCAGUAUGUUACAAUUGGGUUCUUUACUUAUCAUUCACUUGGUUUUCUAGGCUAUUCUUGCCACAAUAAGUUAGACUUUUUCUAGCUAUGCUCUUUUUAAUGCCAAUCUCGUCGCUAAUGUCAAUAUCACCUUGAUUUACUAUUGUCAUGGUCCAAUUCCCACAUUCACGCAAGUAUAGGGUUCAACAAACCUAUUUUACAUAGUCCUCUAUCAAUUUCUAUGUUCAAGUACGUUAGAAACAUACAACUGACUUUUAACCAACCAACACUUGUCCAUUACCCUACGUGCAUGAUUGGAAUUUACAAAUAUGCUCAAAAUGAAGUGACAUAAACAUAGAAGGGAACUCGAAGGUUCCGGAUAGCACCCCCUACCUUGUAGGUAUGCUACGAGCUCACGAAUCGAAUUCGCUGAUUUAUAGACCUCUAUGCCGCCCGCUACGGCAAUCUGUACGAAAAAUGGCCGCUUCGCCAAUAGCUCCGCAACCGCUCGUCGGAUCGCCAAACUGUUCGCGCCAACACGUUCAUUAGCUUAACAAUUAGGGCAAAAAGAUAUCAAUCCCAAGAUUGAACUCCAAAAUCUCAAAACCCUAACUUAGUCCCAUCACCUAGAGUCCAAGCUUUUCCUUCAAAAGCCUUGCUCAAGCUUGCUCCCACUCGUAGGAAGCUCCAACACCAAGCUUGACUCCUUCACAAGCUCCCUUGCCCAAGCUCUAGGGAGAAGGAGAGAGAGAAGAAGAAGGUUUAGAGAGAGAGAGGGAGAUGUGUUUUGGGUUAGGGAUGAGAAAUGAGAGGAAAAGCUCAUCCCUCAAACUCAUAUACACCCAACUUUGCACAUAAGCCAAAAACCCCCUCAACUUUGAACUAUUCACAGCAACCCAACCUGGGCAAUUUUCGCAUAGGGGGACCAGUCUCUCCCCUCAGGGACCGGUCCCCGAGAGCACUCCUCAAGGGACUUAGCCAAAUUUUCCACUUUUUCAGUUGGCUACGCGUAUGGGGACCGGUCUCUCCCUCAGGGACCGGUUCCCGUAAGUCCAAAUUCCAGGACUUAGCCGCUGGGCAAUUUUUCAGUCUAUGGGGACCGAUCUCUCCCCUCAGGGACCGGUCCCCGAGAGCUAAAAUUCUGGGACUUAACCAUUUCCCCAAAAUUCACUCUCUCGGGUCCUACGCCAUGUAUAUUGAUUCUAAUACUUAUAGAACCCAUUGUAAAGCACUUUAACUCGUCCGACUCUGCGUUAGGCUCAAUUCGACGAAACUCGGCACGGUUUACGGGGAUGCGAUACGUUACAGGCAUGAACAAUUAGGUAGAAACAUAUUAUGACAAUGGCAUUGUGACUAGUGGCUAUGUAUCCUCAAGUUGAGGAUUUGAUCGAUACUCACGAUAAGUCUUGGCUUGAGGGAGGUUGCUCCCCCUCGGGCGGGCGUGGUAAAGUCCCCCCAGAGGACGGUCCCAAGGGAGGUUCGAGGCCCCCUGUCACGCCCCGAGACCCUGCCUAUUUGGCCGGAUUUGGGCACGCCGACAGGCUGCCGAACGGACAGAGUCUCCCCUGUACGUCCUAGGCAUCGGAAUCCAUACAAUACAAGAGGUUCCAACCAGGAAGAGUAUUCAACAUACAGAUUGCAUAAGGAAGUAUCAAACAACAUAAACAGCUACACUAUAACAAGCAUUCCCACAACAUGCAUUUUACAUCUCAUUUACAAUUCAUUUUACAAUCAACUUCCAAAUACAAUCAAAGUUAUUACAAUUUUUACUUAUCUACAAGUUUGAUACAUCUUGUUGUUUUCAUUUCCCCUCUACCCCUAGGCUAUGCCGACUCGGGGUACCGCUAUCUCUGGUCUCUGGGUAGGCGCUAUCUAUAGAGCUACGCCCUUGCCUCACACCGCCGCGCCGCUCACAUGCGAACCUGUAACACCCCAAAACAACGCGGGGUGAGAACCAACUCCAUGGUUCCCAGUGGGUACGGCCACCCAAGGAAAAAGCUCGACUAAUAGGUCUAAGGAGGCACUGCAACAUGUUAGUGCAACAAUAUACAACAGAUAUAUAUUCAAAUUGAAAUACAUGUCAUGUCUCACAAUAUGCGAUAUGAAAUCAUACAACUAUGCAACUAAGCAGUUCACUUGUAGAUCCAUCGAUACUACUUUCAAUCUUGCUAUUCAUAGCCCAUAUCAACUAGCUUUAAGGUUUCUACUUACCUUAGUUCCAUAGCUCAAGCUCAACUAGUGUCUAAGGUCUCUACUGCCUUAGAUUGUAUCAUGUACCACUAGCCUUUAGGGUUUCCACUAUCCACCCGACUCAGCCUCGAGUCAAUCAUCGCGGACUACCGCGCACUAGCUGCAUCUCUACUACAGCCUGGCUGCCGUCACAGCCUACCGCACCUCUUGACUUAGCCAUCUGGCGGCGAACGCGUCGUCCUUACACAGCAAGGUCUCAAGUCAUGACUUAGCUAUGUGGCGAUGAACUAAUCGCAUCUCACUCAACAAUGGUUCAGGUCACGACUCAGCCAUCUAACGGCGCGCGCAUUGCCCUUACCCAGCAAUGGUUCAAGUCAAUCUAGGCGGCAUAAUCCAAUAAGCUAAAUGGGCGAGGAGAACCAACAUACCCAUUUCAAGCUCAAGCUCAUGGUAUACCGGGCGAGGAGAACCAACAUACCCGCAGUUAGGAUUCUAUUUAUGCCAAUUCACUUACCGGGCGAGGAAAACCAACAUACCCGUUGAAUCACUAUCGGGCAAGGAGAACCAACAUACCCACAGUCUUGAUUCACUUGCACUCAGUCGCAAAUCUCAUUCGUUGCACUAUUAGCCAUCAUUCCUGUCACGCCCCGAAGCCGAUACCAAUUUGGGCCGGCCCGAGCACGUCAAACAGACGCCGAACGGACAGAGUUUCCCCUAUCCACCCAAGGCUCAUCACAUGUACAAAUUCAAACAAGAAAUGCACUAGCGGAAACAUACACAAACGGCUUACACGAGGGUAAGCAAUAGCCAUUAGUGAAAGAAAGGAAAACUAAACAUUUACAAGUACUAUGAUUCAUUUUUGAUCAUAUACAUUGCAUCCAUUUACAUUCAUGAUUCUUUGUACUUCAUUACACAUUUAUCUCAAAAUAGGCUUUACAUUCUUCUCUCAACUUCACUAGUCAUCAAAUACCAAAAGAUGAACAUAGGGUACUCUACUAACAAAAUGUAAACCCAACUCAACUCUGGUGGCCUCUGCCUAAGNGUGGGUUCGGCCCCAAUAUCACCGACUUUUCCACUAGGACUAACUCAGGCAAAAUAGAAAGGAUAAGCUGAAAUGUAGUAACCAAUCUACAACAUGAUGCUAAUAUGCCUGAACAAAAGCAAGGAAUAUGCUCAACAUUAACAUAUGCAGAUUAUGCAAGUUCUUUCGUUCUUUAUCUUUACACUUUGUUCUUUGUUCUUUGCUCUUUGUUCUUUAUUCUUUAUUCUUUAAUCUCAAGGCUAACCCGGGGGUUUCGCCACAUUAACUUGCUUCACAUUAAGUCCAUCAUCGCAGGAACUCACCCGCUAGGACCGUCCUUCGGGUUUAUUCCAACCCGUGAUGCAUAACUCCGGAGCGCAUCGCCCGAGGGGGAGCGACCGCCCUCGAGCACGGAACUCAUAGCAAGUAUGAUCGAAUCCUUAACUCAAAGGAUUGUAUGUUCAAUCUUGACUUUACACUAACUCUAGUGUUCUUUAUUUCACUUUAUUUUGCCACUCUAGCAAUCGUUGUUCUUUACUUUUCUUUUACUUUUGCUAUCUUUAGCAUUCUUGUUCUUUGCAUUUCUUGUUCUUAUUGCCCCAAUUUACUUUAACUUUACACAUUGUCAUUUUCAUCAUUCUUUACAUCACUUUGGUUCUUCGGCUCACCCUAACACUAGUGUCACUUUACUUUACGUUUUCGAAUGCCACUCGAUCUAUGUCAUUGUCACGACCCGCGACCACCCACCUAUUUGGCCAGGUCGUGGCGCCGCCGACAGACCGCCGAACGGACAGAGUCUCCCCUGCACGUCCUAGGCGUCACAAUCAAUUCCAAUACAAGAAGUUCCAACCAGAAAUAGUAUUCAAGCAAGAUUGCAUAAGAAAGGUAUCAAACAACAUAACACAUCCUAUGUUAUUACAAGCAUUCCUAUUAGAUUCAUUUUUACAUCACAUUUGCAUUAUUACAUUACAUUUUCUUCCAAAUACAAUCAAUGAUCGCAAUAUUAUUACAAGUUUGCUCUUUUUCUUUUCCCUCUACCCCUAGGCUAUGCCGACUCGGGGUACCUCUAUCUCUGGUCUCUGGGGUACGGCGCUAUCUAUGGAGCUACGCCCUCGCCUCGCGCCGCCGCGCCGCUCACGUGUGAACCUGUAACACCCCAAAACAACGUGGGGUGAGAACCAACUCCAUAGUUCCCAGUGGGUACGGCCACCAAAGGGAAAAGCUUGACCAAUAGGUCUAAGGAGGCCCUGCAACAUGUUAGUCCAACAGAUAUCCAACAGAUAUAUAUAUUUAAGUAUUGAAAUACAUGUUGUGCCUCACAAAAUACAAUAUGAAAUUCAUGCAGUUUAUGCAACCAUGCAACCAACUAGUAGUUCAAUCGAUACUACUUUUAUUCCUGUUAUUCACAGUUCAACCAAUUGACUUCUAAGUUUUCCUCUAUCUUAGAUUCUUGUCAAUUACAAUUCUGCUCAUAGGGUUUAACCUGCUUUUAUAAGCUAUCCACUCGACUCAGUCUUGAGUCAAUCACACGCGGAAUACCGCACAAAGUCGGGCUCAAGGUGAAGGAUGUCUCACAUGCACCUCAGCCCUAAAUCCACUCAACUGGGAUGCAACUAAAACUUAUACCAUGCAUCAAAUAGUAAUGGUUUACUAUCAUGCUAACGAAUUCGAUCCAUGUUUAAAUAAUAAUGUUCAAAGACAUUGUUCACUGUUCUUUUACCCAAUCUGUAGCGAAGCCCUAGGGUUCGCCAAUAACUCACCUUUCAAUCCCAAAGUGGGGAGGGAGCUCCAAGUGCACCCAAGCCCGGGACCGUCUGCGGACCUCCAUGUGGUCCGGACCUCCAAGUGGUCCUAGUCGCACGACACUCCGGAGUACUCGACGACAAUCCCCUCCAUGUGGGAUUGGAUGGCUAUACCACCCUAAACGCAGACUGUGAGCUAGAUCUAUCCUCUCCAAGUGAGGAUACACUGUAACUAGGGUCAACACCCAAUCCAAUCCUCUCCAAGUGAGUAGGCUCUACAACUAGAGUCAAUAAUCCAAUCGAAUCCUCUCCAAGUGAGAAUGCUCUACAACUGGAGUCAACAACCCAAUCAAAUCCUCUCCAAGUGAGGAUGCUCUACAACUAGAGUCAAUAUCUCAAUAACUCAUCGACAACCUCUCCAUGUGAGGGUACUUAGGUUUACUAAGUUCUUUAUCCACAAGGCAUUUUCUAAGGGAUUCACCUAUCCCUAGGUUCUCAAACCUCUAGUGUCAAAUACACUACAUUAAUGCCACUCGAUAUGUUCUUGUUUUCCAAAGUCAAUUUCUCUAAUCGACCAAGUUCAACAUGCAUAAUUCAUCUACUAUGUUCCAUAAUAUGGCAACAUGCAUAAUUCUUCUAUCAUAUUCAAUAUAUGUCAUCAUGUAUGUGUUUCUAUUUAACAUAAUCCACAUAUCAUCUCAUUGGUAGGUAAUAUCAACUACAUAAUAUGUUUCAAGCAUUCAUAUUAUCAUGUAAGCCUACCAAUACAACUAUAUGCAUCAAUGUGAAUUCGUAUGUUUCUUAGACAUAAAGGGCGACCUAGUCGCUUCGGUAAGCACAACCCACCUCAAAUCGCUUUCCGAUUGCUUGUCGACACUUGGAAUCGGCCUCCCGCGGCGCCCGUAACCCGGUUUGGCCCGAUCUCGCGCGCGACCACCCGAACGGCCUCCAAUUCACGAUCUGAAAAUUAAAGGUCUUCGGUUAUGUGCCACGGUGCUUCAAAUCCGUUUCAUGGGUUUACGAUGUCGCCUCGGCCCUCCAGGCGGAAACGAAGCCUAAACGUCCGUUUCUUUAAUAACUUCGCACCGGCUCGACGAAUCGCCGAACCGUCUUCGCCAACGCGUUCGUUUACCUAGCAAUUAGGUUUACGGAGGGUCAAAUUAGAUCAAACCCUUAUAUUUUACAAAACCCCAUUCGGAGCCCUAAUAUGCAAUUAACCUUAAAAUAAUCCAAAUUAAAUGGAUCAACAUGCUAACAAAGCUCAUUAGAGGCUAUUAGAACACUUAAAGCUAAGGAUUAAGCCAAAUUUCAAAAGCUUACCACAAUGUGAACGCCGCGACGAAAAUAUGCCGCUCCAACGGGCGCACGAAAGCUCGAUCCGUCGCCUCCAACGCAUUCGCAAGCAUCUUCUCCACCAACCCUCCAAUUUUUAGAGAGAGAUUUAGAGAGAUGAGAGAGAUCUCUAGAGAGAGAAGGGAGGGUUUCCCUCCCCCUCCAUGCGUGUGUGUGUGUGUGUGUGUGUGGUGUGUGUGCGGCUGAAGGAGAAGAAGAGGAGUCAACACUCCACUUUAGUCAACACCACAACACUAUUCACUCCCGGGCAGUUCGAAAUCUGAUAUCUUUCGCCGGAACUCCCUGAACAUCCGUUUGAGCUCAAAGUUCACAGUUAUGUUCGGUUUUAUGUACUGAGUAAGAAUAUAUUUUAAGUUUUCAGUUUCGACCCCGUUUGGUCACUGAAAACUAUAUCGAACUGUAAUUUUUAUCAGAUAGCUGUCGGAUUUUAUUUCUCACUCUACGGGUGUCAAAAAAAUAUGAAACUUUAAAUCUAGUCUCAUAAAAAUAUUUCUGACUUAUCCUCCAAUUUUCAUAAUUUUCUGAGACUGUGCAUUUUCUGCCUAUUUAUCUGUCCCGUUUCCAACAGAAAAUUCUAGAUCUUCUAUUUUCAUUUCGAUUUCAGCACAAGUCACUUCUAACUUAUGUUUUACUCCUCUAAAUCCAAUAAAAAUAGUAUCUCACACUAUUUUUAUUUAUUUUUAUUUUUAUAUUUAAAAUUCGGUAUAUUACAUUCCACCGCAACCUCACCGGAAUCAUUCAAAUGGCUUUCAAGCCAAAUGUACACCGUAACUUCCUAAUUUAGAAGUCCGGUACCUUACAUCCUCCCCUCCUUAACAGAGUUUCGUCCUCGAAACUAUCUCACUUCAAUUCCAAUUCAUACCCCAACUCAACUUAUCAAAUAGUUGGGAGUUCCAAUGCACUUUUGCAUCUCGGAGUGGCCUUUCACUCAUCAGAACUAUCCAAAGGUUCACUAUGGAGGAUGUGAGGCCAAUCUCACUCACAUAUGCCAUGUGUAAACCCAAAAGUGCAUUACCACCAUGCAAAGAACUACUCUUGCAUUAUACACCCAAUCGAAAAAUUUCACUCCGAUUCGAUCACCUACAUUGCUUAGAAGCAAUAUCGUUGGUGACUCGACCAAUCGCGAGUGGUUCAUCACAACCGGAUCCUUGCUCUAUCACGAGAUGGCCCACUCCGGCACAUCUCCAAUCUCAAUCCACAAAAGAGCAUUGUCCUCAAGCUCCAAUUCCUACGUGGCUAUCCACAUCUCAAUGUCACACAAGAGCACUUCGCCCUUGAUAUCAUAAGCCACGACCAACUCUGCUUUGCUCUUGCGACAAAUCCAUACGAACCCUCCGUUCGUGAAUCCAAGCCAAACUCACUAAUAGAGUUAUCGGCUAAACCGAUUACGUCGGUUUCCAUCGGUGGACCAACGGUCACCCGUCCUACGUAGGUCUACCGCCUAAACCUCUUACAACUACGCAUAGCGUCCCUCGCUCACCAGCGUAGACCCAAUCAUAAUCGGGCGAGAUUCUCAUUGGAGAAUUCGCACACACUCCAACCAGGAGCAACCGUGACCCCAAACCACCUCAAAUCCUCGGGUUGGGUCACUACACACUCGGUGUAUCCUCGAUCUCAUGAUCCAACACGUGGCAUUCCACGCUCCCGGGUCUAAGCUCGGACUUCCGUCCUGACCGAAUCUCUGCCCUACCCGUAGGUACCAGGCCGCUGUCUCUCACAGCUGAUUGCGCCUGCCCAAAGGGCCCAGGCUCCACAGUCCACAAAUGGUCCAGGCAUGGGUUGUCCCCAAGCACUACCAGCCGUCGUCGUACCACACGACAUACUCUAUCGAGCUAUAAAUACACUAUCGGCUCCUAAGCACCUAGUGCGAGCCACCAGCCCUACGAGUGAUCCAUGGCCCGCUUCACACUUAGCAAUGCUGAGUGCUACUGCCAACUCACUCUCCCGGCUGAAUCGAAACCGCACUCUACGAGUACCCACACUCGAGCACUCUAUAUGCCUCUAUAGCGUUCUACACGAAGUCCAGCAUUAGGCAAUCUUGCCUAUGCACACCAGUCGCACGAGCGCAACCACCUACCUCACCUUGAGGUACUAUUAGGCCCACGUGCUCAAACUUGGCCACUAAUCGACCGUUCUCUCAACAGUGAUGCUACUUUCACUGUUCGAUAUAUCGGAAUGACAUCCGAAAUUUUCGAACUACUUGGGUGUUCUCAUAAGCAUCAUGGCUCAACUCUCGCAAUUUACUACUCAUAUUGCUCUGAGAGUCGUUUCGCCACUUCUAUCUCUACCGCGAGUCUCACUUCUCGCCAUAGAUUACCUCUAGCACUUCGCUAGUGCCAUCUGGCUCUAUACCUGUACUGGCAGGUACUACGCCCUCAGAUAACACAAAACUCCAUUUCUAGAGCAAUCAAACCUAUCUCUAGAAAUCCACCAUGAGAGAGAGCUUAGAAGCUUACCUCUCCAAGAAGCUCCAACCAAGGAGAAGAUGAAGAAGAUAAGGAAGACCUCCUUCUCCUUCUCUUUCUUUCCUUUCCUUCCUUCUUCCUCUUCUUGUCUUCUAGAGAGAGAAAGAGAGAUAUGAGAGGGUGUGUGGGUGAGAAAUGAGAUAAAAGAGCUCUCAUACUCCUCACAUAGCCUCACGUGUUGCAUAAAUGCAAAUAAGCCCCUCGACUUUCAUCCUUGUGCACAGCCCUCACUCGGCAUUUUGCGCCCAGAGGGACCGGUCCCUCGUCGGGGAGACCGGUCCCCGAGAGCCCUCUCCGCGGCCUGGGGACCUUUCGCGUACGGGAACCGGUCCCCACCCGAGAGACCGGUCCCUGGGAGACCGGUCCUUCCUGAGAGACCGGUCCCCGAGAGCCGAAUUUUCAGGACUUAGCCUUUCUUUGCCCUUCUCUCGCUGGUGUCGCAUACGGGGACCGGUCCCCUCAACCAGGGACCGGUUGCAUCAACCUCCCCCGCAACCAUCAGCUACGGGGACCGGUCCUCCCUUCCAGGGACCGGUCCCCGAGAGCAAAAUCUGCUAAGUCCAGAUUCUUGCAUAUUUGCUCUCGUGGACACGUUUCCAAUGCACUUUUUGUGUUUUGGACAUCUUUAGCUUUUCCGAAGGAUACUCACUCGACAAAGAGUCGAUCCUGAACGAAGCACAACUCUUGAAUUUCGAGAAUUCACUUCCUUACAUGCACAACCUCGACCACGUCUGGCUAAGGUCUCCGCUGAGGCAUUACCCUACCACUCACACGAGAGUGGCCAAUCACUCGCGAAGUCCCAAGUCUCCGCUCGUUUCGGAUUGCUUAGGGACGCCACUCGUCCCAUCCCACGCCGAUCUAGAUUAAGAUCGCCUACGCGGUGCUAUCGCUUCCUAAGACACGACAACUCGGUCGAUUCUCGACCCUCAAUGUCUAGCGCGAAACAACUGACACCGACUCGAAUCGGGCGAAAGUCAUGCAAGGGUGUCUAUUCUCAUCACUCGGUUUCAUGUUGUGUAUACCCAACAUGAACACCCUCGGUUGAAAAUAAACCACACCUCGAGUCUACCUCUAACAUCCGUUUUAGAGGUUUACUAACCUGACCCAAUUGAUCAAUCUUUCGCCAUAAGUCACAAGUCCUCGUAUCUCACGAGCCUUAUUCUCCUAUGGUUUACUGUCCUAGGGUCUCCUAGGUCCAUCUAAACAAUUGCCCAUUCUCUACUUUCUGCUCUGAUACCACUAUUAUCUGUCACGACCCGCGACCACCUGCCUAUUUGGCCGGGUCGCGGCGCCGCCGACAGACCGCCGAACGGACAGAGUCUCCCCUGUACGUCCUAGGCGUCGCAAUCAAUUCCAAUACAAGAAGUUCCAACCAGGAACAGUAUUCAAGCAAGAUUGCAUAAGAAAGGUAUCAAACAACAUAACACAUCCUAUGUUAUUACAAGCAUUCCUAUUAGAUUCAUUUUUACAUCACAUUUGCAUUAUUACAUUACAUUUUCUUCCAAAUACAAUCAAUGAUCGCAAUAUUAUUACAAGUUUGCUCUUUUUCUUUUCCCUCUACCCCUAGGCUAUGCCGACUCGGGGUACCUCUAUCUCUGGUCUCUCGGGUAGGGCGCUAUCUAUGGAGCUACGCCCUCGCCUCGCGCCGCCGCGCCGCUCACGUGUGAACCUGUAACACCCCAAAACAACGUGGGGUGAGAACCAACUCCAUGGUUCCCAGUGGGUACGGCCACCCAAGGGAAAAGCUCGACCAAUAGGUCUAAGGAGGCCCUGCAACAUGUUAGUCCAACAGAUAUCCAACAGAUAUAUAUAUUCAAGUAUUGAAAUACAUGUUGUGCCUCACAAAAUGCAAUAUGAAAUUCAUGCAGUUUAUGCAACCAUGCAACCAACUAGUAGUUCAAUCGAUACUACUUUCAUUCCUGUUAUUCACAGUUCAACCAAUUGACUUCUAAGUUUUCCUCAAUCUUAGAUUCUUGUCAAUUACAAUUCUGCUCAUAGGGUUUAACCUGCUUUUAUAAGCUAUCCACUCGACUCGGUCUUGAGUCAAUCACACGCGGAAUACCGCACAAAGUAGGGCUCAAGGGGAAGGAUGUCUCACAUGCACCUCAGCCCUAAAUCCACUCAACUGGGAUGCAACUAAAACUCAUACCAUGCAUCAAAUAGUAAAGGUUUACUAUCAUGCUAACAAAUUCGAUCCAUGUUCAAAUAAUAAUGUUCAAUGACACUGUUCACUGUUCUUUUACCCAAUCUGUAGCGAAGCCCUAGGGUUCGUCAAUAACUCAUCUUUCAAUCCCAAAGGGGGGAGGGAGCUCCAAGUGCACCCAAGCCCGGGACUGUCUGCGGACCUCCAUGUGGUCCGGACCUCCAAGUGGUCCUAGUCGCGCGACACUCCGGAGUACUCGACGACAAUUCCCUCCAUGUGGGGAUUGGAUGGCUAUACCACCCUAAACGCAGACUGUGAGCUAGAUCUAUCCUCUCCAAGUGAGGAUACACUGUAACUAGGGUCAACACCCAAUCCAAUCCUCUCCAAGUGAGGAGGCUCUACAACUAGAGUCAAUAACCCAAUCGAAUCCUCUCCAAGUGAGGAUGCUCUACAACUGGAGUCAACAACCCAAUCAAAUCCUCUCCAAGUGAGGAUGCUCUACAACUAGAGUCAAUAUCUCAAUAACUCAUCGACAACCUCUCCAUGUGAGGGUACUUAGGUUUACUAAGUUCUUUAUCCACAAGGCACUUUCUAAAGGUUCACCUAUCCCUAGGUUCCCAAACCUCUAGUGUCAAAUACACUACAUUAAUGCCACUCGAUAUGUUCUUGUUUUCCAAAGUCAAUUUCUCUAAUCGACCAAGUUCAACAUGCAUAAUUCAUCUACUAUGUUCCAUAAUAUGGCAACAUGCAUAAUUCUUUUAUCAUAUGCAAUAUAUGUCAUCAUGUAUGUGUUUCUAUUUAACAUAAUCCACAUAUCAUCUCAUUGGUAGGUAAUAUCAACUACAUAAUAUGUUUCAAGCAUUCAUAUUAUCAUGUAAGCCUACAAAUACAACUAUAUGCAUCAAUGUGAAUUCGUAUGUUUCUUAGACAUAAAGGGCGACCUAGUCGCUUCGGUAAGCACAACCCACCUCAAAUCGCUUUCCGAUUGCUUGUCGACACUUGCAAUCGGCCUCCCGCGGAGCCCGUAACCCGGUUUGGCCCGAUCUCGCGCGCGACCACCCGAACGGCCUCCAAUUUACAAUCUGAAAAUUAAAGGUCUUCGGUUAUGUGCCACGGUGCUUCAAAUCCGUUUUCAUGGGUUUACGAUGUCGCAUCGGCCCUCUAGGCGGAAACGAAGCCUAAACGUCCGUUUCUUUAAUAACUUCGCACCGGCUCGACUAAUCGCCGAACCGUCUUCGCCAACGCGUUCGUUUACCUAGCAAUUAGGUUUACGAAGGGUCAAAUUAGAUCAAACCCUUAUAUUUUACAAAACCCCAUUCGGAGCCCUAAUAUGCAAUUAACCUCAAAAUAAUCCAAAUUAAAUGGAUCAACAUGCUAACAAAGCUCAUUAGAGGCUAUUAGAACACUUAAAGCUAAGGAUUAAGCCAAAUCCCAAAAGCUUACCACAAUGUGAACGCCGCGACGAAAAUAUGCCGCUCCAACGGGCGCACGAAAGCUCGAUCCGUCGCCUCCAACGCGUUCGCAAGCAUCUUCUCCACCAACCCUCCAAUUUUUAGAGAGAGAUUUAGAGAGAUGAGAGAGAUCUCUAGAGAAAGAAGGGAGGGUUUCCCUCCCCCUCCAUGCGCGUGUGUGUGUGUGUGGUGUGUGUGCGGCUGAAGGAGAAGAAGAGGAGUCAACACUCCUCUUUAGUCAACACCACAACACUAUUCACUCCCGGGCUGUUCGAAAUCUGAUAUCUUUCGCCAGAACUCCCUGAACAUCCGUUUGAGCUCAAACUUCACAGUCAUGUUCGGUUUUAUGUACUGAGUAAGAAUAUAUUUUAAUUUUUCAGUUUCGACCCCGUUUGGUCACUGAAAACUGUACCGAACUGUAAUCUUUAUCAGAUAGCUUUCGGAUUUUAUUUCUCACUCUACGGGUGUCAGAAAAAUAUGAAACUUUAAAUCUAGUCUCAUAAAAAUAUUUCUGACUUAUCCUCCAAUUUUUAUAAUUUUCUGAGACUGUGCAUUUUCUGCCUAUUUAUCUGUCCCGUUUCCAACAGAAAAUUCUAGAUCUUCUGUUUUCAUUCCGAUUUCAGCACAAGUCACUUCUAACUUAUGUUUUACUCCUCUAAAUUCAAUAAAAAUAGUAUCUCACACUAUUUUUAUUUAUUUUUAUUUUUAUAUUUAAAAUCCGGUAUAUUACAUUCCACCGCAACCUUACCGGAAUCAUUCAAAUGGCUUUCAAACCAAAUGUACACCGUAACUUCCUAAUUUAGAAGUCCGGUACCUUACAGCCACGAUCCCGUGCCUCCGCCGGUGUAGAAGGCUCUGAAAGGAAACCAAAAAAUAGGGGCGUGAGAACUAUUAAAAAUAGUUCUCAGUGGGCAAUUACUGACUUCAAUGAACUGCGCCACAAGGCCCAAAAGCUACAAAAAGAGGUCAGUGACUAACAAUGUAGUAAAGCGAAAGGUAAGUAAAAUGUAAUUUACUAUAACAUAAGGUCUCUACUUAGCAUGAUUUGCAUAGGUAAUAAAGCAACGAUAUCAUGAAUGUACAUGGAUGUGUAUGACAUGCAUAAGCAUAGAAAUGCAACCAAUCCGAUGUCCUCAAUGCAGAAAUAGUAAAGGGGUCAUAGUUUACUAUUCUAGUCUAAGUCCACUUUAAUGGUUUUAAAGUUCACAUAUCAUAGUGAAUACUCAAGUCAAAUCUGAAGAGACCCACCCGAAGGCUGUCUAUGGCCCUGAGACCCACCCGUAGGCUGUCUGGCCGAUGCCGAGCCUAAUGGCCCCGUGGUAGUCAUUAUCCCCACCCUAGGAAUGAGCCUGGCCCACGGCAAUCCACUUCGACGCCCAAUCCCGCACGGCAAAUAUGAAUCGCGAUGGCUAUCUCCGGAGUGCCGGCUUGUAGGGAGCGACCCUCACAAGCAUGUGCGAAUGAGCACAAUAGCAACUAGUCAUAUGUCCAGUCACAAUACCAAGCCCUCAUGUCUAAUAACAUGGAAUGUAUUGAAUGUCCCAAAGGCCUAUCUCUAUGUCAUCAUGUCUCUAACAUAGAAUAUAUAGUAAAUGUACAAUGGCCUAACAUUAUGUUUCUAUGUUGCAGUUUCAUAGUUUACUAGUUUCAAGUGCCUCUUGAUGACACUUUAUGCUACUAAGUCCAAACAUAGUAUAAUGCUUCCAAUACACGAAUAUGAGCUAAAUUAGCAUACUAGACGAGAAUCUCAUUCGUCCACAUGAACACUCCUCACAUGCAUGAAAAUAACCCUGAUUACUCUACUAUAUAGAGUGAAAUUUAACUUACACAUAAGGCAUGCAUUUUAGGUGUUCGAAAAUUCACAUAAAUUUCAAUUAGCAUAGAAAAGCAUUUAAAAAUACUUUACGAAGAGUUUAGAAAGCAUAGGGGCCAUUUCGCCCCUUUUUCAUGAAGUCAAACCCACCAACGGUAAACGAAGCCCUUCGUUUGCUCCGACGAAGGUGUCCUCUAGCCUCCUAGUACCCUAGAGGUAUGAAAACAAGUGUCACCUAAUCGAAACGAACGACGCUAAGCUCCAUCAUUAAGCUUCUCAAGCUAGGGUUGGGAAAACUCACCUCAAGUGAAAAAACGCUCUCUUAAUCUUCAAAUGGGAGGUAGAGGUCUUCCAAUCUAACCUAUAUAAAGGUUCCAAACCAUUCAAAUGAGAUCAAGAAGCCCCAAAUCAAGAAUUCCCAAAUCUAACCCUAAAAUCUAAAAUCUAGGGUUUCAAUUAACGUAGAGCAAUAAAAUCCAAACCUAGAGGAAGGAAACUAGCCACAUACCUCUAGGAUGCUUCAAACCAAGUCCAAAACCCUCUUAGGUUGAAGAUUGGUCCACCACCAAGCUCCAAUAGCAAGCUCCAAAGCCACCAUGAUGAGAAAUGGGGAAGAAGAUGAUGCUCUAAGGCCUCAAAGCAAGCUCCUCUCCUCUCCUUCUCCUUCUUCUUCUCCUCUUUCUCUCUCUAAGGUGGGUGUGAGGGAGAGAAAUGAGAGUGAGAGCAAGGGAGGAGACUAUAUAAGCCAUCCCAUGUAACAAAAUCCACAUGGGCCCCUCAAAAAAUCAAAUUUACAACAGCCUGGUCUGGGCAGUUUUCGCCCAGAGGGACCGGUCUCCCCGACUUGGGACCGGUCUCUCAGCCUGCCCCGACAAUUCAACGUUCGGGAACCGGUCUCUCCCCGCACGUGACCAGUCUCUCCCCACGCAGAUGCGCUCGGGGACCGGUCUCGCCUGCCAGGGACCGGUUGCCUCGUAAGCUGCCGCAACACUGAGCUGAGGGGACCGGUUUCUCAUAUCAAGGACCGGUCCCCGAGAGUGAAAACUCUAAGGACUUGCCAAAACUCUAGAGAUCGAACUUUUAGGCCGGUAUACCAUCGACGGCCCUCCACCAAGUGUGGAAAAGUUCGGAAUACAUAUUGAACACUCGAACCUCGCAAUUUGCAAAGGUCCAGUGUGCUACAUUCACCUCUCCUAAAAAGGAGUUUCGUUCGCGAAACUCGAAAGCCAAAAGCAUACCUCAAGGCUCCAUCUGAAAAAGAUGGGGAUAGCGCUCCUGCAGCACGCUCUCCAGCUCCCACGUGGCCUCCCGCUCCCCGUAGUUGUUCCAAAGGACCUUCACAUACGGAAUAUCCCGAUUCCGCAGCUUCUUCACCUCGCGAGCCAAAAUCUUCACUGGUUGCUCCUCGAAGCUCAAAUCCUCACGCAGUUCCACUGGUAUAGUCUCCAAAACGUCAGCUGGAUCAUGAAUAUACCUCCGAAGGACCGAUACAUGAAAGACGUUGUGCACGCCCGAUAGGUUCGGUGGUAGAGCAAGUCGAUGCGCUACCGGACCUACACGCUCCAAAACCUCAUACGGUCCAAUGAAACGGGGGCUCAACUUUUCCCGAAUCCCGAAUCUCUUGAUUCCUCUAGUCAGUGAGACCUUCAAGAAAACAUGGUCUCCAACUUGGAACUCCAAGUCUCGCCGUCAUCGGUCGGCGUAGCUCUUUUGUCUACUCUGCGCCGUCAAAAGCCGCUUCCAAGCAAUUCGAACUUUAUCCUCUGCUUCCUGGAGCACAUCAGGGCCUAAAGCCAGUCUCUCGCCAACUUCACUCCAAUGAAGCGGCGAUCUACACUUCCGUCCAUAAAGUGCUUCGAAGGGUGCCAUCUUGAUGCUUGCUUGAUAACUGUUGUUAUAAGCAAACUCCGCCAUAGGUAGAUGCUGCGACCAUCCUCCCUGGAAGUCUAUCACACAUGCCCGGAGCAUAUCCUCUAAGGUCUGAAUAGUGCGCUCCGACUGCCCAUCACUCUGCGGGUGGAAAGCAGUACUGAAGUCCAAACGAGUGCCUAGAGCAUCCUGCAGACUCCUCCAAAAGUGAGACACAAACUGGGUGUCUCGAUCUGAUACAAUCGAUGUGGGCACUCCAUGAAGCUGCACAAUCUCAUCAAGGUACACUUGUGCAAGCUUCUCCCCGGUCCAAGUCGUAUGAAUAGGUAUGAAGUGCGCCGACUUCGUCAACCUAUCCACGAUCACCCAAAUAGCAUCGUGCCCUACUUGAGAGCGAGGCAAACCUGUCACAAAGUCCAUGGUGAUCUUCUCCCAUUUCCACACGGGAAUAGGCAAACUCUGAAGUUUUUCCGCGGGAACCCGGUGCUCAGCCUUUACUUGUUGGCAAGUUAGACAACGAGCUACAAACUCGCCAACGUCCUUUUUCAUCCCGGGCCACCAAUGAAGCAACUUUAAAUCCUUAUACAUCUUGGUGCCAGCCGGAUGAAUAGCAUACGGUGCUCGGUGUGCUUCUUGAAGAAUAUCCUCUUUAAUUUCCGAAUCCGCCGGUACACAAAUCCGUCCGCGGAAACGCAUCAGCCCUCGGUCGUCCACUAGGAACUCGUCGGUGCAACCAUCAACCAUUUUACCUCGAAUCGUUUGCAAUUCCAAAUCGAAAACUUGCUUCUCUUUGAUUCUGUCCAACAAGGUAGGUUGCACUACUAAUGUCAUCAACCUCAAGGGUGUGUCAGGAGUCACCACCUCCAACUCCAACCGCUUCAUCUGCUCGAUCAACUGCGGUUGAGUCACAACAUGCAUCGCUAAGUUUUCCAUCGAUUUCCUACUUAGCGCAUCCGCCACCACGUUAGCCUUACCCGGGUGGUAAAGGAUCGUCAGAUCAUAAUCCUUGAGUAGAUCCAACCAUCCGCGCUGCCUCAAGUUCAACUCCUUCUGAGUAAAUAGGUACUUUAAGCUCUUGUGAUCCGUGUAUACUUCACAUCGCUCGCCAUAAAGAUAGUGGCGCCAUAGCUUCAAUGCGAACACUACAGCCGCCAACUCCAAAUCAUGCGUCGGGUAGUUCUUUUCAUAUUCCUUUAGUUGGCGAGAAGCAUAACUAUAAACCACAUACCCUACUCCAACUACUGGUAGGGUCAAGAUCGGGGCGGUCGUCAAUCUCUGCUUCAACUCUUGGAAGCUUCGCUCGCACGCAUCAUUCCAAAUGAACCUGACUCCUUUAUGCGUGAGCCUCGUGAGGGGAGUAGACAGUUUAGCAUACCCCUCUACAAAUCUCCGGUAGUAACCGGCCAAUCCAAGGAAGCUCCGUAUCUCCGUGACGCUCGUCGGUCUCGGCCAAUCCUUGAUUGCUUCAUUCUUGGGAUCCACGGCUAUACCUGAUCCUGAAAUCAAGUGUCCAAGAAAAGCUACCUCUCGAAGCCAAAAUUCACAUUUCUUCAACUUGGCAUAAAGCUCCUUUUCCCGAAGUACUUGGAGUACAAUUAUCAAAUGCUCCUCGUGAUCUGCAUCACUUCGAGAGUAGACCAAAAUGUCGUCGAUGAACACCACGAUAAACCUGUCUAGAUAAGGCUUGAAAACACGGUUCAUUAGAUCUAUAAAAGCUGCCGGGGCAUUAGUAAGCCCGAACGGCAUAAUUGUGAACUCGUAAUGUCCAUACCGUGUUCUAAAAGCCGUCUUCGAUACAUCCUCGGGUUUGAUCUUUAAUUGGUGGUAUCUAGACUGCAAGUCUAUCUUGGAAUACACACUCGAUCCUUGAAGUUGAUCAAACAAGUCGUCAAUCCUCGGCAACGGAUACUUGUUCUUGAUCGUGACUUUAUUGAGCUCACGAUAGUCAACACAUAGGUGAAGUGAUCCGUCCUUUUUCUUGACGAAUAGAACUGGCGCUCCCUACGGCGAGACACUCGGUCGAAUGAAACCCUUAUUCAAUAGAUCCUGUAGCUGUGCCCUCAGCUCCUUCAGUUCCGCCGGUGCCAUCCUAUAGGGUGCCUUUGAGAUUGGGAUAGUCCCAGAGAUGAGAUCUACCACAAACUCAAUCUGCCUAUCAGGAGGCAUACCCGGUAGCUCGGCUGGAAACACAUCCUGAAACUCUCGCACCACCGGGAUAUCCUCAAUCCUAGGGGUAUCAUCCUCGCCCCUCAACACAACACUAGCCAAAUAGGCUACGCAACCUCUGCUGAUCAGCUGCCUAGCUCGAGACGAGCUGAUCGUCAUCGCAAAAAGCGAACUCCGGCAUCCACUAAAUACCACCUCGGUCUGCCCCGGUUCUCUAAAAGUAACCGUGCGAUUCUUGCAAUCAAUCGUGGCAUAGUACUUGGUCAACCAACUAGCCACAUACCUCUAGGAUGCUUCAAACCAAGUCCAAAACCCUCUUAGGUUGAAGAUUGGUCCACCACCAAGCUCCAAUAGCAAGCUCCAAAGCCACCAAGAUGAGAAAUGGGGAAGAAGAUGAUGCUCCAAGGCCUCAAAGCAAGCUCCUCUCCUCUCCUUCUCCUUCUUCUCCUCCUCUUUCUCUCUCUAAGGUGGGUGUGAGGGAGAGAAAUGAGAGUGAGAGCAAGGGAGGAGACUAUAUAAGCCAUCCCAAGUAACAAAAUCCACAUGGGCCCCUCAAAAACUCAAAUUUACAAUAGCCCGGUCUAGGCAGUUUUCGCCCAGAGGGACCGGUCUCCCCGACUUGGGACCGGUCUCUCAGCCUGUAGCACACUGGACCUUUGCAAAUUGCGAGGUUUGAGUGUUCGAUUUGUAUUCCAAACUUUUCCACACUUGGUGGAGGGCCGUCGAUGGUAUACCGGCCUAAAAGUUCGAUCUCGAGAGUUUUGGCUGAGUCCUGAGAGUUUUUACUCUCGGGGACCGGUCCCUGAUAGGAGAGACCGGUCCCCCAGUGAACAGUGCUGCGCAACCGGCGAGGCAACCGGUCCCUGGCAGUCGAGACCGGUCCCCGAGCGCGUCUGCGCGGGGAGAGACCGGUCCCGCGCAGGGAGAGACCGGUUCCCGAACGUUGGAUUUUCGGGGGCAGGCUGAGAGACCGGUCCCAGGUCGGGGAGACCGGUCCCUCUGGGCGAAAACUGCCCAGACCGGGCUGAUGUGAUUUUGAAUUUUUGAGGGGCUUAUCAGGAUUUUGUUACUUUAGAGCCUAUAGAGAGCCUUUCUUCUCUCUCUUUCCCUCAUUUCUCUCCACCCUUUGCAUUCUAGAGAGAGAAGAAGAGAGAGAGAAGAAGAGAAGAAGAGAGGGAGAAGAAGAGGAAGAAGAAGAGGAGGAGAAGGAGCUUGCUUAGAGGCCUUGGAGCAUCAUCUUCUUCCCCAUUUCUCACUUUGGUGGCUUUGAACUUGUGGUUGGAGCUUUGUGGAGGACCAAACUUCAACCCUACUUGGUUUUGAGCUUGGAUUGGAGCUUCUCUUGAG
rnacentral:lncRNA from 1 species